ensembl:lncRNA
AAAUCUGCAUUGGAUGAAGUCUGAUGCAUGAAUAUUGUGUAACGCUACUCUCCUGUUCUUGUGUAUUUCUAAUAGAACUUGAGGUUCGAAAGGAGGAGGCUAAGCUGGUGAAUGUUAAGAAAGAUGCUGCAGCUAAAGAAAAGGUGAAAACAUCCCCUGCAAAGAAAGAAUCUGAAGAUCCCAAAGAAAAAACCAAUGCAGCUACAUCAAAGAAAGGUGCGAAGUAGUCUUUGUGAACACUGAACCCUUUUUAAAACUACUGAUCCAAGCCAACCUACAGUAUACUGGGAUGGCCUAGUCAACCAUCGUUUCUGGAACAGUGCUGGAAAGAACAUUGUGAAAAUAAAAUAUCAGAACGAGCACAGUACAGUUUGUCUUGGCCCUAUAGUCUGAAUCAGGUAAGACUGUUUUGUAUGAUAGAAGGAAUACUUCAUGAAAUAUGUUUUUCUGAUUUAGAUGCUGAAACAAAAGAAAAGGGCAAACUAGCUCCAGAAAAGAAAGGUAACAAAUUAUUUUUUAAUAGUUAAUUUUCCAUUUAUUCAAAUAAUAAGUAGGCAGGCCUAUGUGUCGGGUUUAAUGUAAUUUAUAAAACAUUCUAUCAAUAUCUUAUUGUAAUGACUGUACUUUUUCCAAAGGAAAAGCCAAACCAACUCCUGCAAAUGAAGGUAACAGAAUUAAUUGACUUCACAACUAAAAUGAUAUUAAAGACGGUACAUAAUCACAGAGAAAAUGGUUGUCUAGCUUUAUUCAUAAAGAAACACAUUUAUGAUGUAUUUGAUUCAGAUGUUGCAGUUAUUAAAGAAAAGGUGAAAUCAGCACCUGCAAAGAAAGAAGCUGAAGUUCACAAAGAAAAUGCCAAAGCAGCUUCCUCAAAGAAAGGUAUGUAUAACUUUUUUCUUUAGACUUGAAACAAAAACAUAGUCUUCCUAUAAAUAAAGGUCUGCCACAGAGUGUGCUUCAUUUCUCUCUCAACCAAUUAUUCAGUAUGGGUUUGAAUCAAUUGCAAUUUGAACCUUUGCUGUAUAUGUUAUCAUUCUUGUUUGAUUAGAGUCCAAGGAAACUAAGGAACAAGCCAAACCAGAACCUACAAUAAAAGGUACAGAUAGGAUAUUUGUUUUCUGGCUUCAAAAUGUAUAAUGGCCCAAUUCUUGAGAUUCAUGUUGUGUCUUGUCCAAUGAUUGUUUUAGACAGUGAAGUUCCCAAAGAACAAACCAUAGCAGCUACAUCAAAGAAAGGUGCAAAUUAUUCUUUGUGUACCACAGAUCUAGAUCGGUACACAGAUCUAGUUUACAAAAUAAUUUUUCUCUGAUUUAGAUGCUGAAGCAAAAGAAAAGGCCAAAUUAGCUCCAGAAAAGAAAGGUAUGAAAUUAUUUUUGAAUUGUUAAUUUUCCGCUUAUUCAAAUAAUAAGUAGGCAGCCUAUGUGUCCAUUUUAUGCUAUUUAUAAAACAUUCAAUAAGUUAUUAUUGUAAGGACUGUUGUACGUGAACUUAGAAGCUGAAGUUUCCAAAGAAAAAGCCAAAGUAACUCCUUCAAAUGAAGGUAACAGAAUGUAUUGAUUUUUAACACCACCAAUAUAAUAUUACAGACAGUACAUAAUCUCAGAGAAAAAAAAACAUCCUGCUAUAUUCAUAGAGAAACACAAUUAUGUUGCUUUUGAUUCAGAUGCUGCAGUUAUUAAAGAAAAGAUCAAAUCAGCCCCUACAAAGAAAGGUAAGAAUGUGGUUAGUAUGUAAUUAGGAAUUUGUUAUAAUAUUUGUUUGCAUUGUGUUGUAUUUAUUUAAAUUCACGG